rnacentral:rRNA from 1 species
UACGUAGGGUGCAAGCGUUGUCCGGAAUUAUUGGGCGUAAAGAGCUCGUAGGCGGUCUGUCGCGUCGGCUGUGAAAUCCCGGGGCUCAACCCCGGGCCUGCAUUCGAUACGGGCAGACUAGAGUUCGGUAGGGGAGUCUGGAAUUCCUGGUGUAGCGGUGAAAUGCGCAGAUAUCAGGAGGAACACCGGUGGCGAAGGCGGGACUCUGGGCCGAUACUGACGCUGAGGAGCGAAAGCGUGGGGAGCAAACAGG